AUGAAGAGGGAAGUGAAAGCAACUGGUGGCGAUUCGUGACCAGGAUAAUGAAGAGAUAAAGAGAGACAUAAGGAGAGAAAUCGAAAGAGAGAGGAGGAUGGAGAUCAGGAAUUAAGAAAGGGGCCUAUCGGUGAUCGAGACGACCGUGAAACUGCCGUCUUUAGGAGGCGGUGAUGAUGGUUUGAUGAACACCUGUUACUACCAUCGCCUACAUCUUCAUCUAGAGUAAACCGGACCAGAUUAUAGUGAUUUUGGGUUGCUAGGUUCUGUCACGAACCUAGGCAGCAUGGACUUUAGAGAAUAGUCCAGUGUUGAUGAUGGGUUGCUUCCAAGGCUAAACGACUCAAUAAGACCUGAUGAAGAGAUACUAUUUAUAGAAUUUGCUGAAAAUGCUUAUUAACAGUUAGUUGAUUAAAAGACUUUUAAUUACAUACAAAGAGCUCACAGCAAGGUCAGAAGCAUCACAAAGUGCUAAACAAUUUUAAGUGAGCUGCAAGAGGUAACUAAGAUCCAGUUACAUUUUUCCAAGUUGUGGAACCCUCUAUUUUUAUGUCAUCUAUGUCUGGAAUUAUGAAUUAUGAGGUUCUUUAAAAAUGAAUCAAGUUGUUAGCUUCUGAAGUGGGUCGAAUAUAUUGUCCAAAAGCCCUCAAAUUUCCUUGAAAGAUGAUUGUUUGGCUAUGACUAUAUUUUAAUGAAACUGAUACGAUUCUUUUUC